GGGGAUGUUAUGGAUUCGACAGGUAUAGGUCGAGCCUAAAUUGCGUUUGGUAGGUUGCGACUACCUUAAAACGCUCAGUUAAAUAUAACUGCAAAAAAUAAUAACUACUCUUACGCAGUAGCUGCCUAAAAACAGCUUAGCGUAAAUCCACCCACGAUCGUCCAUGUUGUGGUGCUGGGUUUUAUACUAAGUGGACUACGUUUGCUUACUUCCACCUGCAGUAGCAAAAAGAGAUCAUCAGGAUAGUUAGUAGUGUUAGCCGGGUUGUGUGGCGGAGCUGCUAGCGAAAGUUAAAUAACAUGACUAUGAACGUAGAGGUUUAGGUGGCGAUAUGCUUGGACGCGGGUUCGACUCCCGCCAUCUCCAUAU
rfam:Lactobacillus saerimneri 30a contig00001, whole genome shotgun sequence.